rnacentral:rRNA from 1 species
CAGUAGCCGCGGUAAUACGGAGGGAGCUAGCGUUGUACGGAAUUACUGGGCGUAAAGCGCGCGUAGGCGGUUACUCAAGUCAGAGGUGAAAGCCCGGGGCUCAACCCCGGAACUGCCUUUGAAACUAGGUAACUAGAAUCUUGGAGAGGUCAGUGGAAUUCCGAGUGUAGAGGUGAAAUUCGUAGAUAUUCGGAAGAACACCAGUGGCGAAGGCGACUGACUGGACAAGUAUUGACGCUGAGGUGCGAAAGCGUGGGGAGCAAACAGGAUUAGAUACCCCGGUAGUCCCUGUCUCUUAUAC